UUGGGGUAGUUCAGCGGUUAGAACAACAGGAGUAGAUUGCAGGUUCGAUUCCUGCUCCUAACU
rnacentral:tRNA from 1 species